rnacentral:lncRNA from 1 species
AUUUAUCAGUGAUGAAAUUGGACACACUCGAUUUUCCUCCCACUGGUAAUAUUUGCCGUCAGCAUGAAUAGACUUUCUCAGUACGGUUUUCAACUCCUGGCACAACAGUACCCCUCUUCCAAAUUAUAGCAUAAAUCACAGAAAAGUAUCUCCUUAUUUGUUUGGGAUGAGUUUUAAUUCAGAAACAAUUUAUAGUAAUAUUCUAAGAGAUUGACUGAAUUUGGUUUCCCAACUGAAAAAGGAAUCAACUAUUUGUCAUAUUUAAUGAAGCUUUGAAGAAUGAGGAAGUCAAUUAUUCUUCAGUGCAGUGAUGUACAAAGGAGACUCCUGCAUUUUCCCUGUUACCUGAAGAGAUUAAGAACUUCUGAGUGGAGACAAACGGGAAAAAAUAUUGUUUGUGGAAACUUGCCUAGGCUUGAUGAGAAGGAGGAAAGAGUUCUUACAGCUAAAACUAAUUAGUAACUGUGGUUUCUCCAAACAUGGAAGAAUUUUCUAUCAACAGUCACAAUGCGGGAGUGUCUAGUUGGACCAUCAUGGAAGAUGGAU